AACGCUAGCUACAGGCUUAACACAUGCAAGUCGAGGGGCAGCGCAGUGUAGCAAUACAUGGGCGGCGACCGGCGCACGGGUGCGUAACGCGUAUCCAACCUUCCCGUUACUCUUGGAUAGCCUUCCGAAAGGGAGAUUAAUACAAGAUGGUAUCUGAAUUUCGCAUGUUACUCAGAUUAAAGAUUUAUCGGUAACGGAUGGGGAUGCGUGACAUUAGAUAGAUGGCGGGGUAACAGCCCACCAUGUCUACGAUGUCUAGGGGUUCUGAGAGGAAGGUCCCCCACACUGGAACUGAGACACGGUCCAGACUCCUACGGGAGGCAGCAGUGAGGAAUAUUGGUCAAUGGGCGGGAGCCUGAACCAGCCAAGUAGCGUGAAGGAAGACUGCCCUACGGGUUGUAAACUUCUUUUAUACGGGAAUAAAGUGCCUUACGUGUAGGGUUUUGUAUGUACCGUAUGAAUAAGCAUCGGCUAAUUCCGUGCCAGCAGCCGCGGUAAUACGGAAGAUGCGAGCGUUAUCCGGAUUUAUUGGGUUUAAAGGGAGCGUAGGCGGGUUUUUAAGCCAGCUGUGAAAGUUUGCGGCUCAACCGUAAAAUUGCAGUUGGAACUGGAGACCUUGAGUGUGCAUAAGGUGGAUGGAAUUCGUGGUGUAGCGGUGAAAUGCUUAGAUAUCACGAAGAACUCCGAUUGCGAAGGCAGUCCACUGGGGCACUACUGACGCUGAGGCUCGAAAGUGCGGGUAUCAAACAGGAUUAGAUACCCUGGUAGUCCGCACAGUAAACGAUGGACACUCGCUGUUGGCGAUAUACGGUCAGCGGCCAAGCGAAAGCAUUAAGUGUCCCACCUGGGGAGUACGCCGGCAACGGUGAAACUCAAAGGAAUUGACGGGGGCCCGCACAAGCGGAGGAACAUGUGGUUUAAUUCGAUGAUACGCGAGGAACCUUACCCGGGCUUGAAUUGCACCUGACGUAUUUGGAAACAGAUAUUUCUUCGGACAGGUGUGAAGGUGCUGCAUGGUUGUCGUCAGCUCGUGCCGUGAGGUGUCGGCUUAAGUGC
rnacentral:rRNA from 1 species